AAUAGAUACCCUGGUAGUCCACGCCGUAAACGAUGAGUGCUAAGUGUUAGAGGGUUUCCGCCCUUUAGUGCUGCAGCUAACGCAUUAAGCACUCCGCCUGGGGAGUACGGCCGCAAGGCUGAAACUCAAAGGAAUUGACGGGGGCCCGCACAAGCGGUGGAGCAUGUGGUUUAAUUCGAAGCAACGCGAAGAACCUUACCAGGUCUUGACAUCCUCUGACAACCCUAGAGAUAGGGCUUUCCCCUUCGGGGGACAGAGUGACAGGUGGUGCAUGGUUGUCGUCAGCUCGUGUCGUGAGAUGUUGGGUUAAGUCCCGCAACGAGCGCAACCCUUGAUCUUAGUUGCCAGCAUUCAGUUGGGCACUCUAAGGUGACUGCCGGUGACAAACCGGAGGAAGGUGGGGAUGACGUCAAAUCAUCAUGCCCCUUAUGACCUGGGCUACACACGUGCUACAAUGGAUGGUACAAAGGGCUGCAAACCUGCGAAGGUAAGCGAAUCCCAUAAAAGCCAUUCUCAGUUCGGAUUGC
rnacentral:rRNA from 1 species